rnacentral:misc_RNA from 1 species
CGACCCCUCAGGUGCCCUGUGGCGCCUGGUGUUGGGGCAUCUGCGGCCCGCGCCUGUGGCCGCAGCGCCCCCAAAGCUAGUGGCAGGACCCCGUCUGGACUCCGAGCGCAGUAACGAAAGUCUCGCUCAGGGCGUCCGGCGUGGACCUCGCCGUAAAACGUGUUAAAAUCUUUUACCCAAA